GAUCGCAGAUUGAACAAUGCAGCAAUCAAGCCUGAUAAGCCACCUGGAAGUUUUGCUUGAGACGAUUUCUAAUGGGUUUUCUGAUCCCUCUGAGCAUCAUGACUGCCUUUAGCAUUGUGGAGGAGGACUGGAGUUUCUUAUGAGGGCCCCACUUGGAAAAGCAGGCUGUGCAGAUUCAAGCCUCCGGUUCUGUUCAUGCUGUUCAAAAGCCUUUCCUCACCCUUGCUGAUUUGUUUUUAUGAUUUACAUACACUCCUGUGGAGAUUUACAGAAUGGAUUGUCUGUGCAUUGUCACGACCAAGCAGAGCCAUGGCAGAUGCCCAUCCCACAAAUGCUCAGUCGAAACACCUGCCUGGAUACCCAUUCAGCACUCUACCGAAGACUAUGAAGUGUACGCCUGAAUAUCCUGUGCUUUCAGGGUUUUGCAAAUUAGAGCUUCAGUUAUCCAUGCAAGCAGACUUGAGCUGUAUCAUCCCUUCCUGGGAUCUGAGCAUUGCCAAAACCCAAAGGUGUUGGCUCAGCCCUGUGUGUUGAUGACUCUCACAGUCUGAGUGAAGCUUGUAUAUACAUUUCUAUAGGCCAGCAUGCCUCUGUGAGUUUUACUGGGCGGGCAUCUGCAUUUUUUCCAUCAAGUGUCCUCAUGUUAUGCGAAGUCACAAAUAUUUGCUUGAAAUGUUUAACAUUAAUUAUGAAUUCUGAUGCAACCUUUCAGUCAUUCCAACUGUACAUAUUCAUCUGAGCCACUGUAGGCCUAUCUCUUAGGCCUAUCCUGAAACCAGCUGUUCCUACUGCUUUGAAGUCUUUUUCAGCUUCUUACCUUGGGUACUUUAUGGUAUUUCCUUAGAGUCUGAGCAUCUCAGGAUGUCAAUCUGUUGUCACAAGAACCUUGCGAAGAAGUUGGGAAAAGCUAUUAUCUCCAUUUUAGAAAUGAGGGAGGUGAAAGAUGGGAGAAGUGGAGAACAAGAUUAUUCUGCAUAGAGAUACGCCAUUCACGCCAGUUUGGAACAAGUGCUUCACCAAAGGUAGUUAGCCCAUGGGAAGAGCUGUCAGCCUAGGCAUGAUGCCACAUCUUUGUAAAACACUUCGCUGUGCUAUGGUCAACUCUUGGAGUAACCCCACAGCUCUGUACCAAUGCAUUGGAUGACAGAACAGUGCCAUUAUUCUUUUAUGGAAAGAGAAGAGACAUCUAACAAAUAUUUACCCUCAUAGAUAACGGAGUAACAUCAAGAAAAGCUUUUGAUGCAUUGUUUUGGCAGCCUGGACCACCUCUUGGCUCAGUUCUUUACCUUCAGCUUGGGGGCUGUGCUCAAGCUGUAGAGCAACAGGACAAGCAAGGUGUGUAGGAGCCGUCAGAUCCACAAUCUGCUCUGCUGUCACCGUUGUUGCUGAGAACUGAGCUUCAGGGCUGGCUACAUUUAGAGGCUACACAUUCUGCAUUCCUUUGAAUUGUCUUUAAUCCAUGCUAGAAGCAUCUAGAAUAGGAUGCAGUAUAAUUAAAGAAUAAGCAAAAACAGAGAAAGCCUGAAGUUUUCCCUCCCACAGAUCCAUGCUACGUAUAUGUAUUUUUAUACAGACUUUUCAAUACCUCCUUCAUGCCUCUGUCACCUGAGCUUACCCCAGCUCUACAGAUCUCUGCUACAUAAAUAGCUCUCUAUCCUUGUCCCCAGAUAAUCUGAACCCGUUGCUGUUCAACACCUACCCUUUCUUGCUGUGCCACCUGCACCUCAGUCUGGCUAUGGUGCUGUUCCUCUCACUGUCAUGGUACAAGCCUGGGGUUUCCUGAGUAAAGGCUGGACUUUCCAUUAGUUGGGAGGGGAAGGGUGGUAAGUGAGCACUCUAGUUUGAGGCUCUCUCUUCACCCACAGAAGACCCCUCACAUUGCCUUCUUCCCUGCUCUGUUCUAACUUCUUAGAGAGGAGUAUUUGCAUUUGGACAAUCAUUUCCUGUUUUCAAACUGUUUUUCUAUCCCAAUGUCCUUGUGGAAUAGGUAAUCAGAGAUGCCAUCCAAAAGGGAAGGGCAGUGAUUUCCAACACUGGAUAGCCACAUAAAUAGCCAUAUAAAUGUUUUAAAUGUCGUGACAGUAGCAGAAUGGCAAUACUGCACCGAAGGACAGGAAAUAAGCUUCAGGAGACUGAAUCCAGUCAUCUGUAUUUACAGGAAAUACUAUCGUGUAAUAUCUCACUUAAAACCUUGAAAAUGAUUCACUGUCACCCCUCAUCUCUACUGCCAUCCUGUAUUGGUCACUGCUACUGGAUAAACAUGAUAGGACAAAGCAUGACACACAAAUAGCCACUAUGUAAAGACUAAACUCUGUUAGAAAGUUGGUUAAACAACUCACCAAAGAAUUUGUAAUCUACUUGGAUUUCAACCCUUACUAUGAAACAGGAUUGUGGGUGGCAAUCUGCUGCAUGUCUGCACAGUAGAGCCUUUAAAUGUAAACUCAGUCCAGGCCUCUUUGCUAAUGAACCAAUUUAUGUCACAUUUGACAUGAGCAGACUUACUUUAUUUAGAUGGUUCAUAAAACUGUAGAGUGGCCAUAGCAGAUAGAACAAAAUUCCCAAAGGAUUUUUGUAGCUCUGCAGCUGAUAGAGGUCUGCAGCUGAUAUUUAGAGAUAAAGUGUGGUAACUCAUCAAGCAGAGAGUGAUAUUUCCCUUGGAAUAUCUUUCUUGCAAUCAGCAGUUUAGAGGCUUCAUAAGCUUGUGCUUAUGGAUGGGCAGUUACUUGUGAUAGACUGGAAUUCAUUAAAAUAAGAGUUAGAUAAGUGGAACGAAAUUCUGUUGUCAGAUACGUUCGAGUAAAUCUAGAUGUGCACUGGUGUAACAACACAGGCUUUGGUUCCUCAUUCUCUUCCUUGCUAACAAAAGUCUUUAAAUAUUGAAUGUUUGAAUCCUCUCCUGGAUGUGUAUGUGUAUAUAUAUAUAUUAAAUAAAGCAAGAACUGGUUUGCUAAUAAAAUCUUGGCAUUUAUUUUGUCAGUUCUUAACUGUAGCAAUGAAGUUUUCACUUAUCAGAUAUGCGCUUAUCAGUUUUCUGGUGUAGCAUAUAGGCUUAUUCUACUCGAAUAUAAUCUGAUCAGCUAUGAAUUUUCUCCACCUGUAAAUGUGUACAUAAAUCGUGCUUUUAGAGAUUUAACGGGUGAUUUAAACAGUGAUUUUUUUCUGCUUUCUUUUGCAAAAUUCAAAUUGUGACUAACUUUCUGAAAUAUCAGUUCUAUGGAAACUAUAAUAAAAAUGCUUUUUGGACCAGAACUUUCUAUUUUUCUCUUUUAUUUUCUGUUGAUUUUUUUUUUUUUUGUAUAUUAUUUGUUGGCUAAUAUGAAGUUGUGGAGUUCUUCCUGUAAGAUUUUUCAUUGUCUUUCCAUUCCAUUUAAUAAUAGAACCUUUUAUAAGACCUUUUUUUUUUUUUUUUCAGUGAAAUCAAUAGCAAAAUUGAUUUUGGAAUAAAAGUAGAAGGGUCUCCUCUAGUUUAUCACCUCUGAAAAUUAAAUAAUUUGAAUUAGGUUUGUGGUUUCAUAGCAUUCACAGCAGUAGUUUAGCAUAG
ensembl:lncRNA